CACUGCCGAGAAAAGCCUCUAGAUAGAAAAUAGGUGCCCGUACCGCAAACCGACACAGGUAGUCAAGAUGAGAAUUCUAAGGUGAGCGAGCGAACUCUCGUUAAGGAACUCGGCAAAAUGACCCCGUAACUUCGGGAGAAGGGGUGCUCUUUAGGGUUAACGCCCAGAAGAGCCGCAGUGAAUAGGCCCAAGCGACUGUUUAUCAAAAACACAGGUCUCUGCUAAACCGUAAGGUGAUGUAUAGGGGCUGACGCCUGCCCGGUGCUGGAAGGUUAAGAGGAGUGGUUAGCUUCUGCGAAGCUACGAAUCGAAGCCCCAGUAAACGGCGGCCGUAACUAUAACGGUCCUAAGGUAGCGAAAUUCCUUGUCGGGUAAGUUCCGACCCGCACGAAAGGCGUAACGAUUUGGGCACUGUCUCAACGAGAGACUCGGUGAAAUCAUAGUACCUGUGAAGAUGCAGGUUACCCGCGACAGGACGGA
rnacentral:rRNA from 1 species